UACGUAGGGUGCAAGCGUUAAUCGGAAUUACUGGGCGUAAAGCGUGCGCAGGCGGUGAUGUAAGACAGUUGUGAAAUCCCCGGGCUCAACCUGGGAACUGCAUCUGUGACUGCAUCGCUGGAGUACGGCAGAGGGGGAUGGAAUUCCGCGUGUAGCAGUGAAAUGCGUAGAUAUGCGGGGGAACACCGAUGGCGAAGGCAAUCCCCUGGGCCUGUACUGACGCUCAUGCACGAAAGCGUGGGGAGCAAACAGG
rnacentral:rRNA from 1 species